GACGAACGCUGGCGGCGUGCCUAAUACAUGCAAGUCGAACGCAGUGGGGACGGGUGAGUAACACGUGGGUAACCUCCCAUCAGAGGGGAUAACACUUGGAAACAGGUGCUAAACCGAUACUGAUGGAUGGACCCGCGGGGCAUUAGCUAGUUGGUGGGGUAACGGCUCACCAAGGCCACGAUGCAUAGCUGGCCUGAGAGGGUGAUCGGCCACACUGGGACUGAGACACGGCCCAGACUCCUACGGGAGGCAGCAGUGGGGAAUCUUCGGCAAUGGACGAAAGUCUGACGGAGCCAUGCCGCGUGUGUGAAGAAGGUUUUCGGAUCGUAAAACUCUGUUGUCAGAGAAGCGUUAUCUAAAGAGAAAGCCACGGCUAACUACGUGCCAGCAGCCGCGGUAAUAC
rnacentral:rRNA from 1 species